AAGGAAGAUUUUGUGAAGACUUAUAAGUAACCUAAUCAUUUAAGCAUAGCCAAACACGAACCAAAGCGAAUACAAGUCUCCACUCGAACGACCAUUGAAUCAAUUUUACCGGACCCGAUAUAGACUGUCAAGAAGAAAUUAUGCCAAGAGUAACCCCAAUACUGCGCAGAGCUCAUAAAGCCAUUGAAGAAUUGGAUUUGCUCAAAGUUCUGCAAUCGGAAAUCAACCACGAACUCUCUUCCCAUCGCUUCCAGACAGGUGAAAGUGGUUCCCCAGAAGAUUUUGUUCUGGAAUGGGAUUCUCCAAAGUCCCAAGAUGUGGUUUUACGGAAGAAAUGUGCAUCUGGGGAGGAAGUAGCUAUUUCAGCUUUAUUGGGCGGUGACACGUUCCAAGGAGAUGGUAGCUUUCCCAGGGAAGCUUUGGUAAAAAUAUGUGUUAAGAAGCCUGGGUUGAACUCCCUCUUGCAGUUUGAUUGCGUAGCAUCUAGGAAAGGUGGUAAUGAAUCUGAGUUUGACAUUCAGAAUGCCAAUUACAUGCAUUCGCCAUCAAGCCUGGAUUCUUCAUUCUAUAAAGGUCCCCCAUUCAGUUCCUUGGACCCGGAUUUGCAACAUGAGCUGAAGCAAUAUCUUGCAACCAGGGGAAUUGGUGAAGACUUCAUCAACUUCCUCCUCCUCUAUCUACACAGAAAGGAGCAAGGUCAAUAUGUGAACUGGCUGCAAAAGUUAAAAGAUAUCAUUGGAGAAAACAGUGAGAGACAUCUGCACGGAGCAGAAUUUGUUCCCCAUUCCAAUGUGACGUCAAAGAAAAGUUGAUACUACAAGUACGGGUGUAAAAAGGGGUGGUGCCAUCCAGGUCCAGGUGGCUAGCACGAUUCAGUCCUAGGCUGGGCUGUGGCUGGCCCGCCCCUACAAGUAGUGUUCUGCAUAUCGCCCAAGUAAUAUUAGGUUGUUCCUGUUUGUACAGCCAGGUUCACCUCUUGACAACAAAUUUAUAUGGAUUUUGAUGGACUUACAGGUUAGAGAGCAGAGGAACCAUUUUUUUUUUUUUUUUGCCUCGAAAAACUUAGCUUAUUCAACUCAUAGAACUGGGCUAUUUGGAGAAAGUCGUCAUUAUUCCGAGUGACAUCUUCGCGCACCUUGGCUUCUAGCUCUUGUUUCAGUUUUAUAACAAUUCCAAACAGUGUUUGCGAAACAAAAUGGAUUACACACUCAUGAUAUCUAAAGUUGAAUUUAUAAUUUCGUUUUAAUAUAUCUA